GGUAACACCCGGGCAGCAGCGGCGGUAAGUCGGAGUGUGAAAACGUUGCCCGGAAUCAUUGUGCGUAAAGCGAACGUAGGCGGCUGGUUAAGUCGGGUGUGAAAGCCCCGGGCUCAACCCGGGAAGUGCAUUCGAAACUGGCGAGCUUGAAUAUGUAAGAGGGUCGCGGAAUUCCCGGUGUAGAGGUGAAAUUCGUAGAUAUCGGGAGGAACACCAGUGGCGAAGGCGGCGACCUGGGCCAAUAUUGACGCUGAGGUGCGAAAGCGUGGGGAGCAAACAGGAUUAGAUACCCGUGUAGUC
rnacentral:rRNA from 1 species